CCGCUUCCCGGGGGACAGCGGCGCGGCCGCCUUGGGAGUCGGGCCUCCGCUAGCCCGAGCCUUUCUUCCUAGCUGCUCGGGUGGCCCCAUCUUGCGGAGCGGUGAAACCUGGGACCCCGAAAUGCGGGGUGCUGGCAGCGGUCGGAGGCCGGGGCGUGCUGAGCGGACGGGGUAGUGUCCAGCAGGCUGAGCUCCCCGUUGGAAGUGGCCUGGCUCGGCCUCUGGCCUCUGCUGCCCUGAGCCCGCCCUCGCGGCCCCUGCCGGGCACGCCCCAGCCCGUCCUGUAGGGCCGGGGCCGCGGGAGAGUAGGGGCGUCGCGCCUGCUGUCAGAGGAGGCCUUGGGGGGCGGGCGGGAGUCCGUAGUUCUGGGGAUGUGUUGGGGAGCACUGCAAAGUGGCUCUGAGCGGGAUUUAAUACUAACCGGUUGGCUUUCCAUGUUUGCUUGUGAGUUGUCUGAAACUUAGGCAUCUUGUCUGACAAGAUAAGGCCACAGCUGAAGACGUUUGGCUCCAACCCCAAUUACUACAAGGUAGUUUCUACAGCUGCAGCCUCCACACGCCUACAAUAAAUACCAACCGAGAGAUAAGGAAACUCAGCCAACCGAGCGCCAGGCCCGUGUGAAGAAAGAUUACUCCAACUUCAUGGCUUCUCUGAAUUUUGGCAGCUACUAUGCAAGAGAGAUCGUGACCCGCAGCUUCUCCAACCUGUGUGUUGGGGGGGCCUCUGGAUCUUCAACAAGCAUGGCAUGGAGACUGCCUUGGCCUGCUGGGAGUGGCUGCUGGUUGGUUGAAAGAAAAGGAAAAUGA
rnacentral:lncRNA from 1 species